AUUGAACGCUGGCGGCAGGCCUAACACAUGCAAGUCGAGCGGAUGAAGGUGGCUUGCUACCUGAUUCAGCGGCGGACGGGUGAGUAAUGCCUAGGAAUCUGCCUGGUAGUGGGGGACAACGUUUCGAAAGGAACGCUAAUACCGCAUACGUCCUACGGGAGAAAGUGGGGAUCUUCGGACCUCACGCUAUCAGAUGAGCCUAGGUACGAUUAGCUAGUUGGUGAGGUAAAGGCUCACCAAGGCGACGAUCGUUAACUGGUCUGAGAGGAUGAUCAGUCACACUGGAACUGGGCCACGGUCCAGACUCCUACGGGAGGCAGCAGUGGGGAAUAUUGGACAAUGGGCGAAAGCCUGAUCCAGCCAUGCCGCGUGUGUGAAGAAGGUCUUCGGAUUGUAAAGCACUUUAAGUUGGGAGGAAGGGCAGUAAGUUAAUACCUUGCUGUUUUGACGUUACCGACAGAAUAAGCACCGGCUAACUUCGUGCCAGCCGCCGCCGUAACAC
rnacentral:rRNA from 1 species